AACGAACGCUGGCGGCACGCCUAACACAUGCAAGUCGAACGCAGACCUUCGGGUUUGAGUGGCGAACGGGUGAGUAACACGUGGGAAUCUACCUGAUAGUGGGGGACAACUGUUGGAAACGACAGCUAAUACCGCAUACGCCGGAAGUUAAAUUUUGGGAAAGAUUUAUCGCUAUCAGAAGAGCCCGCGGCAGAUUAGGUAGUUGGUAGGGUAAUGGCCUACCAAGCCGAUGAUCUGUAGCUGGUCUGAGAGGAUGACCAGCCACACUGGGACUGAGACACGGCCCAGACUCCUACGGGAGGCAGCAGUGGGGAAUCUUGGACAAUGGGGGCAACCCUGAUCCAGCGAUGCCGCGUGAAUGAAGAAGGCCCUUGGGUUGUAAAGUUCUUUCACCUGUGACGAUAAUGACGGUAACAGGAGAAGAAGCCCCGGCUAACUCCGUGCCAGCAGCCGCCGUAACAC
rnacentral:rRNA from 1 species